UACGUAGGGGGCGAGCGUUGUCCGGAUUUAUUGGGCGUAAAGAGCGUGUAGGCGGUUCGGUAAGUCUGUCGUGAAAUCCUGAGGCUCAACCCCGGACUUGCAGUGGGUACGGGCAGACUAGAGUGUGGUAGGGGAGACUGGAAUUCCUGGUGUAGCGGUGGAAUGCGCAGAUAUCAGGAGGAACACCGAUGGCGAAGGCAGGUCUCUGGGCCACUACUGACGCUGAGAAGCGAAAGCAUGGGGAGCGAACAGG
rnacentral:rRNA from 1 species